rnacentral:lncRNA from 1 species
ACACACACACACACACACAUAUAUAUAUAUAUAUAUAUAUAUAUAUAUAUAUAUACACACAGUCGGGAUCCAUAGAGGACGUCCGCACUUUAAGGGAAGCGCGGACAUCCCUCCGUUCUCCACCGUACGGCUCCGACGACAGCGCGCCUCCACCCUAAUGGCCUCCAGCAGCGUCUCCGAUCAUUUUCCCUUCCCAGCGAGUCUGCUGAUGUGACACUCGGAAAAUUUGACCAGCUUAAUUCAAGGUCGUUCGGUAAAUAAAUUAUCGACCUUGGUGAUUUUAUAAUAUGUUUGAGGAGAUUUUCAGAAAUUUUACAAGGUCGAGAUCCUUGAUUAAGGAGUUAGAUAGUAAUCUACAUGACAAAACGAGUUCGUGGGAAAGUUCGGAAAUUAUUCGGAGUCUCGAGGUAUUUUCUAUAAUUUUUGGAGAUUUUGAGAAUAUAGAAAAUUGGUUUAGAAAAUUAUGAAAUUUAAUUGGUGAGAUUUGGGACGUCCAUUCUAAGUCGGUUAAUUACAAUAUAAUAGAAGUGGGAAAAUGCCAUCUCAACCUAGAAUGCUCGAGAGAGAGAGAGAGAGAGCCUCAGAAUGUGAGUGAGAAGAGAGACUCUGAACCGACAAAGGGCCGGUGACCUGACUUGGCCCUAUCUCUGUCGUCCCGCCAUCAGUCGAUGACUCACCGGCAUCCAUCGAUCCUCUCAUCGCCGCCGGCACGUUGGUGGUGGUAGCUAAUUUAAUUGACGACUAAGGAAGGAGAUUUGAUGAGCAACAGUUUUGCAUUCUUGACCGUUUUCGGCGACUCUGGUGGCGGUUUGAGCUGCAUGUGCGAAUUUUGUAGCAUCUAUUCGGCUGUUUUCGGAGCUGCUUGAGUGCUUCUAGGUUCUUCGGCAACGCUUGAGGUGAGGACCUCAUUUCCCCUUCGUUCUAAUAUUCACGCUGGUAUAGUUGGAUUCUAUUGGUUUUGAUGAUUUGUAAUUUCGAAUUUUGGUGCUUUCGGAUUCGACGGAGCUACGGAUGGUGACGAGUGCUCUAUGCUUCUGAGUUCUGUCAUCCUACAACGUAGAAUGAUCAUUGGAAAAGCUUGAUU